GGGUCUAGCGCCCUUAGAGUUUGAUCCUGGCUCAGGAAGAAAAAGGGGGGGCGCCUUAUGCAUGCAAGUUGAGCGAAGCUUUUCAGUAGUUUACUACAAAAAAUGACUGAGCGGCGAAACGGGUGAGUAGCGCGUGAGCAAUCUACCUUUAGUUACUGGGAUAGCCCGAGGAAACUCGGAUUAAUACCGGAUAAUCUUAUUACAUCACAUGAUAUUUUAAGUAAAGGUCAGCCGAACUAAGAUGAGCUCGCGUUCUAUCAGCUAGUUGGUGGGGUAAAAGCCUACCAAGGCAACGACGGAUAGCUGGUCUGAGAGGACGAUCAGCCACACUGGGACUGAGACACGGCCCAGACUCCUACGGGAGGCUGCAGCAGGGAAUAUUGUGCAAUGAGCGAAAGCUUGACACAGCGACACCGCGGGUGGGAUGACGGUUCUAGGAUUGUAAACCACUUUCAGGAGGGAAGAAAAUGACGGUACCUCCACAAGAAGACCCGGCCAACUAUGUGCCAGCAGCCGCGGUAAUACAUAGGGGUCAAGCGUUGUCCGGAUUUAUUGGGCGUAAAGAGCUCGUAGGCGGUUCAACAAGUCGGUCGUAAAAGUUUAGGGCUCAACCCUAAAAUGUCGAUCGAUACUGUUGUGACUAGGAUACGGUAGAGGUGAAUGGAAUUCCGAGUGUAGCGGUGAAAUGCGUAGAUAUUCGGAAGAACACCAAUUGCGAAGGCAGUUCGCUGGACCGUGAUCGACGCUGAGGAGCGAAAGCUAGGGGAGCAAACAGGAUUAGAUACCCUGGUAGUCCUAGCUGUAAACGAUGGAUACUAGAUGUAGGAACUGGAUUGACGGUUUCUGUAUCGUAGCUAACGCGUUUAAGUAUCCCGCCUGGGGAGUACGGUCGCAAGACUAAAACUCAAAGGAAUUGACGGGACCCCGCACAAGCGGCGGAGCAUGCGGCUUAAUUCGAUGAUACCCGUAGAACCUUACCUGGACUUGACAUAUAGGGAAAAACUGGAGAAAUCCAGUGUGCGUAAGCGCCCUUUACAGGUGGUGCAUGGCUGUCGUCAGCUCGUGUCGUGAGAUGUUGGGUUAAGUCCCGCAACGAGCGCAACCCCUGUCCUAUGUUGCCAGCAAGUAAUGUUGGGGACUCAUAGGAGACUGCCGGUGAUAAACCGGAGGAAGGUGGGGAUGACGUCAAGUCAUCAUGCCCCUUAUGUCCAGGGCUGCACGCAUGCUACAAUGGCAAGUACAACGAGUCGCAAUACCGCGAGGUGGAGCAAAUCUCUUAAAGCUUGUCUCAGUUCGGAUAGGAGUCUGCAACUCGACUCCUUGAAGUUGGAGUCGCUAGUAAUCGCAAAUCAGCAAAGUUGCGGUGAAUACGUUCUCGGGGUUUGCACACACCGCCCGUC
rnacentral:rRNA from 1 species